UUCACAACUGCAAGCUUUAUGAUGCUGAAAAAUCCUUUGAAACUGAAGUAAUAUGAUCCAGACUUGAGGGUGAUGAAACUGAUUGAAUGCACAAUCAUAUAGAAUCACAUAGAACACCUAUAGUAGGGCAGGAACAUUAUGUAAACAAUUUUUUUUGU